UGGCGGCGUGCUUAACACAUGCAAGUCGACCGAGAAAGUUCUAUUCGGAGGACGAGUAGAGUGGCGCACGGGUGAGUAACACGUGGAUAAUCUGCCCUGGAGUUCGGGAUAACCAUUCGAAAGGGUGGCUAAUACCGGAUAGAAUGGAUGCAUGCAGGUGCAUUGAUGAAAGGCGGCACUUUCGGGUGCUGUUGCUUUGGGAUGAGUCCGCGCAUCAUUAGCUUGCUGGUGGGGUAACGGCCUACCAGGGCGACGAUGGUUAGCUGAUCUGAGAGGGUGAUCAGCCACACUGGAACUGAAACACGGUCCAGACUCCUACGGGAGGCAGCAGUGAGGGAUUUUGCGCAAUGGGGGUAACCCUGACGCAGCAACGCCGCGUGAGUGAAGAAGGCCUUUGGGUCGUAAAGCUCUGUCAACAGGGAAGAAGUUGCAUUGCAUUAACAGUGUGAUGUCUUGACGGUACCUGUGGAGGAAGCACCGGCUAACUCCGUGCCAGACAGCCACGGUAACACGGGGGUGCAAGCGUUAUUCGGAAUUAUUGGGGCGUAAAGUGCGCGCAGGCGGUCUUGUCAGUCAGAUGUGAAAGCCCGGGGCUCAACUCCGGACGUGCAUUUGAAACAGCAGGACUUGAGUACAGGAGAGGAAAGCGGAAUUCCUUGGUGUAGAGGUGAAAUUCGUAGAUAUCAGGAGGAACACCGAUGGCGAAGGCAGCUUUCUGGACUGAUACUGACGCUGAGGCGCGAAGGCGUGGGUAGCGAACAGGAUUAGAUACCCUGGUAGUCCACGCAGUAAACGAUGUUCACUAGGUGCAGCGUGUAUUAAAACAUGCUGUGCCGCAGCCAACGCAUUAAGUGAACCGCCUGGGGAGUACGGUCGCAGGAUUAAAACUCAAAGGAAUUGACGGGGGCCCGCACAAGCGGUGGAGCAUGUGGUUUAAUUCGACGCAACGCGAAGAACCUUACCUGGGUUUGACAUCCUGUGAACCCUCUGGAGACAGAGGGGUGCCUUCGGGAGCACAGAGACAGGUGCUGCAUGGCUGUCGUCAGCUCGUGUCGUGAGAUGUUUGGUUAAGUCCAGCAACGAGCGCAACCCUUAUCUUUAGUUGCCAGCACUUCGGGUGGGGACUUUAGAGAGACUGCCCCGGUAAACGGGGAGGAAGGUGGGGAUGACGUCAAGUCCUCAUGGCCCUUAUGUCCAGGGCUACACACGUGCUACAAUGGUAUGUACAGAGGGCAGCGAGGGAGUGAUCCCGAGCGAAUCCCGAAAGCAUGCCCCAGUUCGGAUUGGAGUCUGCAACCCGACUCCAUGAAGUUGGAUCGCUAGUAAUCGCGGAUCAGCAUGCCGCGGUGAUAUGUUCCCGGCAUUGUACACACCGCCCGUCACACCAUGAGAGUUGACUAUACCCGA
rnacentral:rRNA from 1 species